ACGGCCGCAUCACAUUGAAACACUGGCCCCCGUAUGAUUCACCGAAGUUAAGCAACAUCAAGCCUGUUCAGUACUUAGAUGGGUGACCGCUUGAGAAUAUCAUGUGCAGUAAG